GACGUUGGGCGCGAGCGUUGUCCGGAUUUAUUGGGCGUAAAGAGCUCGUAGGCGGCUUGUUGCGUCGGCUGUGAAAUCCCGUGGCUUAACUGCAGGCUUGCAGCUGAUACGGGCGGGCUGGAGUUCGGUAGGGGAGACUGGAAUUCCUGGUGUAGCGGUGAAAUGCGCAGAUAUCAGGAGGAACACCGGUGGCGAAGGCGGGUCUCUGGGCCGAUACUGACGCUGAGGAGCGAAAGCGUGGGGAGCGAACAGG
rnacentral:rRNA from 1 species